UACAGAGGGUGCGAGCGUUGUCCGGAAUCACUGGGCGUAAAGGGCGCGUAGGUGGCGGGCCAAGUCCAUGGUGAAAGCUCGAUGCUCAACAUCGAGUCGGCCACGGAUACUGGUUUGCUGGAGCACUGUAGAGGCAGAUGGAAUUCCGGGUGUAGCGGUGGAAUGCGUAGAGAUCCGGAAGAACACCGGUGGCGAAGGCGGUCUGCUGGGCAGUUGCUGACGCUGAGGCGCGACAGCGUGGGGAGCAAACAGG
rnacentral:rRNA from 1 species